GAUGAAGAACGCAGCGAAAUGCGAUAAGUAAUGUGAAUUGCAGAAUUCAGUGAAUCAUCGAAUCUUUGAACGCACAUUGUGCCCCUUGGUAUUCCGAGGGGCAUGCCUGUUCGAGCGUCAUUAUAACCCUCAAGCUCAGCUUGGUGUUGGGGCCUGCUGCACUGGCAGCCCUUAAAAUCAGUGGCGGCGCCAUCUGGCUCUAAGCGUAGUAAUUCUUCUCGCUAUGGAGUCCUGGUGGAUGCUUGCCAUCAACCCCCAAUUUUUCUAUGGUUGACCUCGGAUCAGGUAGGGAUACCCGCUGAACUUAAGCAUAUCAAUAAGCGGAGGA
rnacentral:misc_RNA from 1 species